rnacentral:rRNA from 1 species
GAUCCUGGCUCAGGAUGAACGCUAGCGACAGGCUUAACACAUGCAAGUCGAGGGGCGAGCGAGGGAGUGGCAACACUUCUGUCGGCGACCGGCGCACGGGUGAGUAACGCGUAUGCAACCUGCCCUUCACAGGGGGAGUAACCGGGAGAAAUUCCGACUAAUACCGCAUACGUCCUCCGGGGGCAUCCCCGGGGGAUGAAAGAAUUAUCGGUGAAGGAUGGGCAUGCGUGAUAUUAGGUAGUUGGCGGGG